rnacentral:sRNA from 1 species
UGAUAAGAGAUGAAAGAAAAGAUCGGGAUCCCAGGGUCCAGGAUUUUAUUCCCAACGCAUGGCAGCAGGAACUCCUGGAUGUGGUAGAUAAGAAUGAGUCAGCAGUGAUUGUUGCCCCAACGUCCUCAGGCAAAACCUAUGCUUCCUACUACUGCAUGGAGAAAGUGCUGAGGGAGAGCGAUGUCGGGGUGGUCGUGUAUGUUGCACCUGCAAAGUCCCUUGUUGGUCAAGUGGCUGCAACUGUUGAGAAUCGUUUUACUAAAACGUUGCCUGCCGGCAGAACUCUAUGCGGUGCUUUUACAAGAGAUUAUCGUCACAAUGUACUAAACUGUCAGUGCCGGAAUGUUUUGAAAUCCUGUUGCUUGCUCCUCAUCGCCAAAAAUGGGUGGAAAGGAUCAGAUAUGUUAUAUUUGAUGAGGUCCAUUAUCUUGGCAGAGAAGUUGGAGCAAAAUUUUGGGAGCUCCUCCUUGUCAUUAUUCGGUGUCCCUUUUUGGUUCUUUCAGCUACCAUAAAUAACCCAAAUCUUCUCACCAAGUGGCUGCAAUCAGU